rnacentral:rRNA from 1 species
GACGAACGCUGGCGGCGUGCCUAAUACAUGCAAGUAGAACGCUGAAGAGAGGAGCUUACUCUUCUUGGAUGAGUUGCGAACGGGUGAGUAACGCGUAGGUAACCUGCCUUGUAGCGGGGGAUAACUAUUGGAAACGAUAGCUAAUACCGCAUAACAAUGGCUGACACAUGUCAUUUAUUUGAAAGGGGCAAUUGCUCCACUACAAGAUGGACCUGCGUUGUAUUAGCUAGUAGGUGAGGUAAUGGCUCACCUAGGCGACGAUACAUAGCCGACCUGAGAGGGUGAUCGGCCACACUGGGACUGAGACACGGCCCAGACUCCUACGGGAGGCAGCAGUAGGGAAUCUUCGGCAAUGGGGGCAACCCUGACCGAGCAACGCCGCGUGAGUGAAGAAGGUUGUCGGAUCGUAAAGCUCUGUUGUAAGUCAAGAACGGGUGUGAGAGUGGAAAGUUCACACUGUGACGGUAGCUUACCAGAAAGGGACGGCUAACUACGUG